UUAUGUAAGAUGAUUGCACAAAGUGCCUCUCCCAUGAUGUAACUAACAUUAAACUGUUAAUCAUAAACCUAGGGCUUCUCAGCUUUCACGGAAAUGCAGCUGUUAUACAGCCAGGUGAAACACUCUCCGAGGAGUCUGGUGAAGUUGCUCUGUUCUUGCUGACAUUUGUUGAAAGCCAUAUGCUGCACAUAAACCAAGAAGACAGCAAAGCCUUGCUACAAAAACAGUACUUUAGGGCAGGUUCUGGUCUGCCAGUGAUUUUGGGACCACGGAGUGAAGAACGUUUUGAACCAUGAAGACUCUCUUGUAUGUGCUAUGGAAAUUCUGCAAAAUAUAACUUUUUUUUUUGUUAAAGUGAAUUACAGGGUUAUUUGCUAUUGAAAAAAAUAAUUUCAACUAAUACUACUAUUUAUUAUUAAAGGGCCCAACUUUGUAAGGUAAUUAACAGAUGAGAUAGGGUACAGUCUGCUGAAAAUGACUUCCUGAGGAUUUUAUGCCAUAUUUUUCUGUUACUAAUAGA
rnacentral:lncRNA from 1 species